GAACGCUAGCUACAGGCUUAACACAUGCAAGUCGUGGGGCAGCAUGUUGUGUGCUGCACACAAUGAUGGCGACCGGCGCACGGGUGAGUAACGCGUAUCCAACCUGGCCUCAGUAGGGGAUAGCCGGCGAAAGUCGGAUUAAUACCCUAUGCACUCCUUUGCGGGCAUCUAACGAGGAGUAAAGAUUCAUCGCUGGGGGAUGGGGAUGCGUCUGAUUAGCUUGUUGGCGGGGUAACGGCCCACCAAGGCGACGAUCAGUAGGGGUUCUGAGAGGAAGGUCCCCCACACUGGUACUGAGACACGGACCAGACUCCUACGGGAGGCAGCAGUGAGGAAUAUUGGUCAAUGGGCGAGAGCCUGAACCAGCCAAGUAGCGUGCAGGAUGACGGCCCUAUGGGUUGUAAACUGCUUUUAUACGGGGAUAAAGUUCACCACGUGUGGUGUUUUGUAGGUACCGUAUGAAUAAGGACCGGCUAAUUCCGUGCCAGCCGCAGC
rnacentral:rRNA from 1 species